rnacentral:lncRNA from 1 species
AGCAAGAAGGUCUUAGCUUGACCACAAGAAGUGAGUUGUUGAGACUGAGGAUCCCCUCAGCUACGACUCCUAUAUAUGUUAGUUCCUAAGAAGCUUCUUGAGAAGUUUCUAUGAGGCUUGGAAUCAAAACAAGCUUGAGAUCCUUCUUUGGCAACUUCUUAAAUCAUCUAAUACUUUCUAGAAUCUUCUAAGAUUUCUUAUGAUCUUCUAAAACUUUCUUAGAAUCUAUUGGAACCUUUUAGAAUCUUUAAGAAUCUUUUAAGAUCUACAAGAACCUCCUUAGAACCUUUUAUAAUUUUCU